AGUUUUUAGCCUGGCGGAUAACUGAAAAGGAGUUUGCACAGGUGCCGGUGCAAUCUAAGGACCCGGGUGGGUCAACAGAAAGUCUCACAACAUGUAUGGAGUGAGGCCGUGUCUGGAGAAGCCUCCACGAAGAAGAAGGGUCAGAAUCACUUGCACCAGUGAAUGUGCAUUUCUGAUCAGCCAGAUACCCGGAUAAACAUGAGUGGUUGUGGUCCAGCCCAAAGCAAACAGACUUCGGCAUCUUAGUUGGGCUGUGCCCCAGAGCCACAGAGAUGCACAUUUUCUAGAAGACUUUGGGAGACACAAAGCUUUCUCCAAGACUUUAAGAUCUGGAUACAGCUGAGACAUCUGAAGAAGCUACAUGUACUAUGGGUAUAUAGCUGGUAGCUGGGGACCUUGGGCCUCAUCUAUAGCAUGAGAACACUCACAGGGAAGGAAGGCUGUAUUUAAUAUUUAUGAGGAUGCCCAGCUUUUGAGGACUAGAGGACAUUGUUAGGGUUGUUAUCUUGGUUUUGUUUUUAAGAUUUAAAAAAAAAGUGUACAAGUGUU
ensembl:processed_transcript Gm13778 predicted gene 13778